rnacentral:rRNA from 1 species
CCUACGGGUGGCUGCAGUGAGGAAUAUUUGUCAAUGGACGCAAGCCUGAACCAGCCACGCCGCGUGCAGGAAGACGGCCCUAUGAGUUGUAAACUGCUUUUGUACGAGGGUAAACGCAGAUACGCGUAUCUGUCUGCAAGUAUCGUACGUAUAAGGAUCGGCUAACUCCGUGCCGGCAGCCGCGGUAAUACGGAGGAUUCAAGCGUUAUCCGGAUUUAUUGGGUUUAAAGGGUGCGUAGGCGGUCGGUUAAGUUAGAGGUGAAAUCCCGAGGCUCAACUUCGGAAUUGCCUGUGAUACUGUUCGGCUAGAGAGUAGUAGCGGUAGGCGGAAUGUAUGGUGUAGCGGUGAAAUGCGUAGAGAUCAGAAAGAACACCGAUUGCGAAGGCAGCUUACCAGGAUACUUCUGACGUUGAGGCACGAAAGCGUGGGGAGCAAACAGGAUUAGAUACCCGGGUAGUC